AGCGAACGCUGGCGGCAGGCCUAACACAUGCAAGUCGAGCGCCAUAGCAAUAUGGAGCGGCAGACGGGAGAGUAACACGUGGGAACGUACCUUCUGGUUCGGAACAACCCAGGGAAACUUGGGCUAAUACCGGAUAAGUCCGCAAGGAGAAAGAUUUAUCGCCAGAAGAUCGGCCCGCGUCUGAUUAGCUUGUUGGUGAGGUAACGGCUCACCAAGGCGACGAUCAGUAGCUGGUCUGAGAGGAUGAUCAGCCUCACUGGGACUGAGACACGGCCCAGACUCCUACGGGAGGCAGCAGUGGGGAAUAUUGGACAAUGGGCGCAAGCCUGAUCCAGCCAUGCCGCGUGGGUGAUGAAGGCCUUAGGGUUGUAAAGCCCUUUCGACGGGGAAGAUAAUGACGGUACCCGUAGAAGAAGCCCCGGCUAACUUCGUGCCAGCCGCCGCGGUAACAC
rnacentral:rRNA from 1 species